ensembl:lncRNA
GUAGGACACGUUAUUAUUUAUUUUUUUGCUGAUGAUAUCAUAUCGCUCCUUUCAAAAUGUUCACUGGAGCAGAAAAUGCUAGGAACAAACAAAAGAACAGCACUUAGAUGGAAACUUCUUUCUCUCUCUCUGUCUGUCUCUCUCUCUCUGAAACGACUGAAAUCCACAGAACUUUUCAUUUUCAUCUCACUGAGAUGUCACGUGCCAGAUCCUCCGUGUUUCUUUUCGAAAUAAAACACACUAAUCACCGCCGAGAUUAGCUGUAUAGUUACAACCCACUAGUUAAUGUAAUGUAGGGCUAGCUGGAGACAUUUAUGUUAGCUAGCUAACUAGCUUUUAGGGUUUUUUGUUUUGUUUUUAUACACAGCUAGGUGGCGCUGCACACAGGCUCGAUCGCAAGGGAACAACUUUUGAUACCUCGAUUUUUUGCGCAUAAAUUUGUAUAUAAAUUGCUUUGGCUAACCUUUCCAGUGUGCUAGCUAGCUUGUUAAGGUUUGCUAGAAAUGGUAGGUGAUGCAGAAGCAAAACUUUAUGGUUGUACCGUGGCUAAUCUUUCUCAGCGAUUUCUCAGCGUUUAAGGAUGCGAGAAUUUCUUUGUUUUACUUUAUUUAUGGUCAAACUUUUUUUUUUUUUUAAAUGGUUAUACAGUAUACGUAGCAUACGGACGAGCGCUAGCUGUGCUGUGCUGAGUAUCGUUCGUGGUAACUAGCUAGCUAACUCAGUUACCUCAGUCUACGUGACGUCGCUCCACAUAGACAUAUUUAUAUUUUCCUGAAAUAAGGAAUUAACAAGUUUUUAUUGUGAACGGAGCUGUCCGUGUUAUACGAAUGCUAGCUGUGCUUGGCGUCACUGAAAUGCUAAGAGGAAUACGGGAAGAGGAGAGAGGCAGGGAGGGGGUGCAGCAAGCUCUGUACUCUGUGUUCUAUAAAUAAAUAAAUUGUAAAAACAAUAAAAAAUUCCCACGAAGCGGUCGUAACAUCCCGUAACAGACUGGGCCAAUUUUGUGGACGAAGGUUGCCAGAUAGUGAAAUAUACUUCAGCCGGCGGUUCACGAACGCCUCUGGAGGCCGAGGUUGUUCAACUUUAUUGUUCUUCCCUCGACUCAUUUCUCAGAGGUCGAAAAGAGUGUGUAGUCAUGUAGUGGGAGCAAACCGCUCGGACUUUCCACGAGCGUGUGUGUGUGUGUGUGUGUGUGUGUGUGUGGCAAGAGGAGGGACUUAUCUGUUUUUCCCCCUGAGUCCAUGGUUUGUUUGUUUUAAUGGCCGCCUUUUUUGGUAUUGUGCCCUUUUAAAGAACGGCUUCCCGUGUGGCUACGCGGCUAACGGGAGGAAAGGAUGGAAACACACACACACACACACACACACACACACACACACACACAGAGCCAAAAACACACACCCUAAAAGUGCACGUCCUUCAGGGCACUCGAAGGAGGAAGAAAGUAAGAAAGGGGGAUGGUGGUGUGUGUGUGUGUGUGUGUGGGGGGUGUUGGUUUGGGAUGGGGGGCACUUCUUUCGAGAAUACACUAAUGCACCUUAUCCUGUCCAUAAAACAACCCCCCGCCCCACCACAAAACCCCACCCACAGUUAUGGACCACGAGUGGGUGGAGUUUAAUUCUGUCCUCAGGCGUUUCCUGUUGCUUUAGCUGAUGUUCUAGAUGCAGGAACAGCAGGCAGACCCACUGGCAGGACUGUUACAUGUGUGUGUGUGUGUGUGUGUGUGUGUGUGUACCCCUUCCCCACCCGUGACCUUUGACCUGUACACCUCCAGCUGAGUCACUCACACACUACCACAGUAGGUCUUUCAGAAAGAAGGAAAAAUAGAGAGAAAAGUGUUGACAUGACUUUCUAAUGUGUGUGUGUGUGUGUGUGUGUGUGUGUGUGUGUGUGUGUGUGUGUGUGUGUGUGUGUGGAAGCUGCCAGAGGGGAGUAAAGGGAAAAGUGUCAGAAAAACAGUGUGUGACUGGGAGAGAAAGAAAGGAGGGAGCAAAAAAAUUGUCAGAAACGGGGACACACAGUGGAAAACAAACCCGAAAAGGUAGAGAGACGUAGAGGAAGAGAGAAAACGAGUGAGUCAGGGGAGAGGGCAUGAAAUGGAGAGAGAGAUGAAAAGAGAUGGAAGGACAGGAAAAGAAAAGAAGGGGACAGACAAGGAAAGAGAGGGAGAGGACAGACGUGAUGAGAAAAACAGAUGGAGGCGUUGAAAGGAAGACAGAACGAGGGAGUGAGAAAGAAAGGGACGAAAAGGGACUGAAAAAAGGAGAGGUGGCGUGUUGAAAAGCGAGACAGAGAAAUAGAUGGGGAGAUAAAGAUAAAUCGGAUGAGAGACAGAGAGAGAGUAGAGGGACAGCAGGAGAAAGGAAAGUGGGAAGAAACAUGAGAGAGAGGGAUGAGAGAGAGAGAGAAGGAGAAACAGAAAGACGUGAUUAAAAAAGCCUAGAUAGAGAAGGACAAAGAGAAACAGACAGCAAGAGAGGGAAAGGAAGGAGGGAAGAAUACGAGAAAGAGUUAGAGUGAGAGAGGUACUGAGAGGGAGAGAGAGAGAGAGGGAAAGGAAAGAGGGAAGAAUACGAGAAAGAGUCAGAGUGAGAGAGGUACACAGAGGGAGAGAGAGAGAGAGAGAGGGGGAAAGGAAAGAGGGAAGAAUACGAGAAAGAGUCAGAGUGAGAGAGGUACACAGAGGGAGAGAGAGAGAGAGAGGGAAAGGAAAGAGGGAAGAAUAUGAGAAACAGUCAGAGUGAGAGAGGUACACAGAGGGGGGGAGAGAGAGAGAGAGAGAGAGGGAAAGGAAAGAGGGAAGAAUACGAGAAAGAGUCAGAGUGAGAGAGGUACACAGAGGGGGAGAGAGAGAGAGAGAAAGGAAAGAGGGAAGAAUACGAGAAAGAGUCAGAGUGAGAGAGGUACACAGAGGGAGAGAGAGGUGGAAAGGAAAGGGGGAAGGAGGAAGAAGAAGAAGAAUUACGGAAUAAGAGGUAGAGGCGUCGAUAAGGACAGAGAGAAACGGAUUGAGAGAGAAAGAAAGAGGGAAGAAUAAAAGAAAAUGAGAUGAAGGACUAGAAUAGAAGAGAGAGAGAGGGAGAGAGAGGGCGAGAGAGCAUGUUUAAACUCUGGAGCUGUAAUCCCGGAUAAAACCACCAGCGAUCAAAACAUGCCAUCAGUCUCUCUCUCUCUCCCUCUCCUCCCUCCUCCCUUCUUUUCCUCGGCAUAAUAGAGUCGUCUCUACGUGCUGCCCGAGCUCAACCUCUCUCUCUCUCUCUCUCUCUCUCUCUCUCUCUCUCUCUCUCUCUCUCUCUCCACAUUGGCAGUGUCCAUAUGGAACAGUUUAUCUAGGAGCCGCAGUUUUUGUGCCCAUUAAAGCCGAGUUGCUUUAGGAAAGAAAGAGACACUUGGAGCAGAAAGGAAGAGAAAAAAACGAUGAAAACCUCUUUAUUAUGAUCGAGCAGAACCACGGCAGCUCGGCCGACACUCAACCUCUUGCUCUGUGUGUGUGUGUGUGUGUGUGUGUGUGUGUGUGUGUGUGUGUGUGUGGUUCACCCACAGAUGUUCUUGAUUUAGAGCAGCACACGUGGAUGGAGAAGAUAAACACACCGUUGAGACUUACGCACUGUACUUCUGCUUUACUAGCGCUAAGCGUUACUGUUCGGCGGUUAUCGUUACAGUUAAAGACGUAAACAUCGUUCCAAACAUUUAUUUAUUUUUUUUUAAAUCUCUUCGUAAACAUUUCCUAAAGCGUACGUUUGAGACGUAUCGAUUCUUAAAUCUCCUGUCAACUUAUCAUUUCCUUCUCUAAGAUUAGCUUCGUAGCAUUAGCCGCGAUUUGAGAGAUUUCUCGA